rnacentral:rRNA from 1 species
CCUACGGGAGGCAGCAGUAAGGAAUAUUGGUCAAUGGAGGCAACUCUGAACCAGCCAUGCCGCGUGCAGGAUGAAGGCCCGUACUGGGUCGGUAAACUAGCUUUUACUACAAGAGAAAACCCGAACGUACGUGUACUCGGUUGAUAGUAUUGUGAGAAUAAGCAUCGGCUAACUUCGUGCCAGCAGCCGCGGUAAGACGAAGGAUGCAAGCGUUAUCCGGAUUCAUUGGGUUUAAAGGGUGCGUAGGCGGACCUGUAAGUCAGUGGUGAAAUCUCUUUGCUUAACAAAGAAACUGCCAUUGAUACUGCAAGUCUAGAGUAUAGAUGACGUUGGCGGAAUAUGACAUGUAGUGGUGAAAUACUUAGAUAUGUCAUAGAACACCGAUUGCGAAGGCAGCUAACGAAACUAUAACUGACGCUGAGGCACGAAAGUUGCGGGGAUCAAACAGGAUUAGAUACCCUGGUAGUCCGCACCGUAAACGAUGAUUACUCGUUGUUGGCAAUAUGACCGUCAGCGACCAAGCGAAAGCGUANAAGUUAAUCCCNCCGUGGGGUUAGGAGUCGCGACGAGACGACGAGAGAGAGAGNGNGAGAGCGACGACGACGACGACGGAGGAGGAG